ACUGCCAGUGGGCAUCCUUUUUUCUCAGAUUUUGUUAAUUUCUCUAGGUCUGAGAUCAUUAAAGCAUAUCAAUCCCUAGACUUUAACAAGGCAAUUCCACCAACAAAUAACUGUUUUUUUCUAACACCUGGACAUCACAUAUAUUUGCAAAGCAGAAAUAUGAGUGAUAAUCUUACAGGUCCAAUAUUGAUGUCCUGAGUUUUGUAAAUUGUACAUCAGCUAAAAGCUCGAGUUUGAAAAUCUGUUAUUUGGGGAGGAAAUUUUCUAAUUUACUUGAAAUACAGAGUAAUUUUCCUGUGGACAAAUAGGCUGCAUUUGGAAAAUCUUUUCUGUUUCAGUCUAACAUCAUUCACGUGGGGAAGCUGUUCCUGUUCAAUCCAUUAGAGCAACUGCUUAGGCGGCAUGAGUUUAGCUGUAGUUUAGCUUAACUUCUUAAAUUCCCGUUAUGGCAGUCAGUAUGUAACUUCAUCUACAAAUGAUAUUUGGUCCUCUCUCAGUUGCACAGGAAUGUCCUUCCUGAAUGAAAUCCUCAAUUUUUGGCUUUUUUCCGAACAUGAAUAUAUUCUCGAGUGUUUGCUCAGGGUCAUGGCAUGAUAAAAGCUUGUUUAGCUGUUCUCAACACUAUACUGAUGAACUGAGAUUUUGAUCAAUGUUUUUCAUAACAAUCCAGAGUGAAGAUAGGGGGGAAAAACCCUGCAGAGUCCAUGGUACAGACAUUUAAAUGCAAGAAAUCAUAAGCGUCUUGAUUAAUACUCCGGGGCCUUUGAGACUGUGGAAGGCUGAUGUCCGUUUAAAAAUCCUGUUUGUGAGGAUUUGUGAUGCCUGCCUGGGAACAGCAUCGCUGGUACUUGGGUUUUGUUACAGAAAUGAGAGAUCGCAGCAUAUUGCUUAAAUAAAAUGGUGAUGAUGCUGUAUUUAGUAAUUCGCAGAGUGUCAUUUCACUUUAAAGCUAUAGGGAAAACAACAAAAAUGGGGUGGUGGGGGGGGACCCUUUGUACGAUAUAACAGAGGAGCGCGUUUUAAAAAAUACGCAGGGACGCUCCAGAGAAGCAGCGAAGCCUCGGGCACAGCCCCGCCGCGGAGCCGGGCGCAGCUGCCUGGCGGAUCACUGCGGCCCGGGGGUCCCGCUCGGGAUGGGGAUCGGGACUGGGAUCGGCACGGGGGAGUCCCUCCGCGUACGUGCGGCGGCGCAGGUCCGCAAUG
rnacentral:lncRNA from 1 species